rnacentral:rRNA from 1 species
GUGGGGAAUAUUGGACAAUGGGGGCAACCCUGAUCCAGCCAUGCCGCGUGAAUGAUGAAGGUCUUAGGAUUGUAAAAUUCUUUCACCGGGGACGAUAAUGACGGUACCCGGAGAAGAAGCUCCGGCUAACUUCGUGCCAGCAGCCGCGGUAAUACGAAGGGGGCUAGCGUUGCUCGGAAUUACUGGGCGUAAAGGGCGCGUAGGCGGACAGCUUAGUCAGAGGUGAAAGCCCAGGGCUCAACCUUGGAAUUGCCUUUGAUACUGGCUGUCUUGAGUUUGGGAGAGGUGAGUGGAACUCCGAGUGUAGAGGUGAAAUUCGUAGAUAUUCGGAAGAACACCAGUGGCGAAGGCGACUCACUGGCCCAAUACUGACGCUGAGGCGCGAAAGCGUGGGGAGCAAACAGGAUUAGAAACCCGGGUAGUCC